ACGGGUGAGUAACGCGUGGGAAUCUACCCAUCUCUACGGAAUAACGCAUGGAAACGUGUGCUAAUACCGUAUACGUCCUUCGGGAGAAAGAUUUAUCGGAGAUGGAUGAGCCCGCGUUGGAUUAGCUAGUUGGUGGGGUAAAGGCCUACCAAGGCGACGAUCCAUAGCUGGUCUGAGAGGAUGAUCAGCCACACUGGGACUGAGACACGGCCCAGACUCCUACGGGAGGCAGCAGUGGGGAAUACUGGACAAUGGGCGCAAGCCUGAUCCAGCCAUGCCGCGUGAGUGAUGAAGGCCCUAGGGUUGUAAAGCUCUUUCACCGGUGAAGAUAAUGACGGUAACCGGAGAAGAAGCCCCGGCUAACUUCGUGCCAGCAGCCGCGGUAAUACGAAGGGGGCUAGCGUUGUUCGGAUUUACUGGGCGUAAAGCGCACGUAGGCGGACUAUUAAGUCAGGGGUGAAAUCCCGGGGCUCAACCCCGGAACUGCCUUUGAUACUGGUAGUCUUGAGUUCGAGAGAGGUGAGUGGAAUUCCGAGUGUAGAGGUGAAAUUCGUAGA
rnacentral:rRNA from 1 species